CUUUCCUCCACUUGAGGACGAGUUGUAAAGAACUGCAUCAAUCAACUCAACAAUCAAGUGUCUUCAAAAAAGAGCUCAUCUGAGAAGAACAAAUCCUGCAGGCAUCCAGCAUAAGUUUGCCUGGUUCAAUCUAUAACAAAGCCUUAACAGAAUUCACUGAAUGUGGCCGAUAGCUGCACAGCUCAAAGAGCAGGCCACAGGAAGGAGCAGCUUCUAACGUGUGCAAGGAGAGAAAGGUCCAGGUAAAAGUUAUUUUCAAGACAUUCUACUCUCAGAGCAAAGUGUGGGCAUUGGAGAGACAGGGGCUAUGCUACAGAAACAUGUAGACCUCUACCAAAAUUCGGCUAGAAUGCAAGUCUGAAGAUUCAAGGCAUGCACCAAAAAGGUACCCUGGGAGCUUUCCUAUCUUUGAUGUCAACUGUACUGGAUUGAGAGCCACCUUGAAAUUGCUGAGGCACAAUUCUGCAUGCAUCUGCGAGAUGUUGCCAGAGUUCAGUAGCGGAACUCUCAGCAUGUCUUGGCAGGAGCAUCACAUCACUUGAGACCCAAAGAAAUAAGAAGAAAUGCUGUUUUAUCACAUAGGGAGCACUCAGACUUUUCUCCUUUUUUCCGCGAAUGCUGUCUUCUCAAAC